GCCCCGCUAGCUCAACUGGCUAGAGCAACUGACUCUUAAUCAGUAGGUUCGGGGUUCGAGUCCCUGGCGGGGUA
rnacentral:tRNA from 1 species